UUUUCCCCCAAUUUCUUCUUCUUCUUUAUUCCCCGAUUUCUUCAGCUGCUGCUCUAUCCUACUCACUCCAUCUUCUUCCCUCCUCCAUCUGCAUCGUCGUCCCUGUCAACGAAGCACCGAACGAGACAAACAUUGUUGUCCCUGCAUCCGAGCAUAUCAUUAAUUUUCUAGGCGCGACAAAGACGUAAUGCUUGGGAAGAUUUGGGGAAGCAAGAACUUCCAGUGUCUGGGCCGAUCUGGGGGAAAGAAUUUGAAAACUUAGGUGAUUGGGUGUCCAAAAACCAUUGAUGGUGACUUGAAAUGCAAAGAAUUCCCAACAUGUUUUGGGUUUGAUACUGCUUGCAAGAUGACUGCAACUAAAAGAAAUUUUUUACAACUUGAACCCUUAAAUUUCUUUAUGGUUCUUUCCAUAUAUCGUGUAGGAAAUUUUGGAACAACAAUCUUUAUUUUUUAGCAGAUACAAACUUGAACCCCACUAGCUUGAAAAUUGUAUCCAUGUACCUGAUGAUAAUUUUAUUUGUUGAAGCAAUUUUUUUUUCACUGCCACUGUGUUAUAUUUAUAUUCCUAGAAUCAUCUUAUUUACUUGCUAAUUCAUUAUGGUCAUGAACUUAUGAAUUUACUUUAAAGCAUCAACCUUUACAUGUUAAGAGAAGGAACUUCUCAUAGAAAAUUGUUUGCAGAUAAGUUGGUUAAUUGUUGUGUGGGCUAUCAACUAUAACUUGCAAGAAAAUUUGGUGAUGCUAUGUUUUGAUGAAAUAAAGUAUAAUAUUCAAAGUACCUUGUCCUGCUUAAAAAACUAAUUAGGUGUUAAAGUUAUUAUUCUAACAGGUUUAUUUCUUGAGAAA